GUCCAUUAAUUUGGUGUUGCGGGAGACUGGACUGUUACUUUGAAAAAAUUAAGAAGUGUUUAAAGCAAGCUAACGCUUGAAUACAUUAGCAUGGAAUAAUGAAAUAGGACGUUCGAUCCUAUUUUGUUGGUUUCUAGGAUUGACGUAAUGAUUAAUAGGGAUAGUUGGGGGCAUUAGUAUUCAAUUGUCAGAGGUGAAAUUCUUGGAUUUAUUGAAGACUAACUACUGCGAAAAGCAUUUUGCCAAGGAUGUUUUCAUUAAUCAAGAACGAAAGUUAGGGGGAUCGAAGACGAUCAGAUACCGUCGUAGUCUUAACCAUAAACUAUGCCGACUAGGGGAUCGGAUGAUGUUAAUUUUAUAAUGACUCAUUCGGCGCCUUACGG
rnacentral:rRNA from 1 species